AUUGAACGCUGGCGGCAGGCCUAACACAUGCAAGUCGAGCGGAUGAGUGGAGCUUGCUCCAUGAUUCAGCGGCGGACGGGUGAGUAAUGCCUAGGAAUCUGCCUGGUAGUGGGGGACAACGUUUCGAAAGGAACGCUAAUACCGCAUACGUCCUACGGGAGAAAGUGGGGGAUCGUCGGACCUUACGCUAUCAGAUGAGCCUAGGUCGGAUUAGCUAGUUGGUGAGGUAAAGGCUCACCAAGGCGACGAUCCGUAACUGGUCUGAGAGGAUGAUCAGUCACACUGGAACUGAGACACGGUCCAGACUCCUACGGGAGGCAGCAGUGGGGAAUAUUGGACAAUGGGCGAAAGCCUGAUCCAGCCAUGCCGCGUGUGUGAAGAAGGUCUUCGGAUUGUAAAGCACUUUAAGUUGGGAGGAAGGGCAGUAAGUUAAUACCUUGCUGUUUUGACGUUACCAACAGAAUAAGCACCGGCUAACUUCGUGCCAGCCGCCGCCGUAAUAC
rnacentral:rRNA from 1 species